ACAUGCCUACAGGAUAGCACUAAUGAACUGGAUCCCAUUAGAAAUCUAUAGUUAAGCAUGCUCAGGCUAGAGUAGUACAGGGAUGGGUGACUUCCAUGGAAGUCCUAGUGUUUUACAUGCC
rfam:Picea glauca, whole genome shotgun sequence.